UACGGAGGAGGCAAGCGUUAUCCGGAAUUAUUGGGCGUAAAGCGUCCGUAGGUGGUGAUUCAAGUCAGCGGUUAAAGGGUGGUGCUUAACCUCAUACAGGCCGUUGAACCUGGAUUGCUAGAGUGCGGUAGGGGUCGAGGGAAUUCCCAGUGUAGCGGUGAAAUGCGUAGAUAUUGGGAAGAACACCGGUGGCGAAAGCGCUCGGCUGGGCCUGCACUGACACUGAGGGACGAAAGCUAGGGGAGCAAAAGGG
rnacentral:rRNA from 1 species